CUCUCACAAGAGACAACCUCAGAAGCUUGUAAUGAGUACGUUAAGCAAGCAGAUUCAUCUCAAGGCAAUAUAUAUGCUUAUAACACAUAUUCCCAGCUAUGCAACUCCUCUGCCUAUACUUCCCUUCCUGUAAGUUCGAAUGGCUAACUGCUCAUUCAUUAUUGAGGAAACAGAUAUAUUUGUAACCAAUUUUAUACACAUUUAAGUGCCCAAGGUUGAGGAUCAUGGUGAGAAAAAAGAAGACCACACAGCAUUCUGCACCCCAACAGGCACACCUCUCUGUAGAUUUUACAUGCCUUCUAUUAAGUUUUGUGAUGGAAACUUUUUCUUUUGUCUAUAACAGAUAUCUGGAUUUGAUCCAUGCUCAGCUAAUUAUGUAGACAAUUACCUAAACAAUGCUGAAGUACAAAAGGCAUUUAAUGUCAAAGAUAUACCCCAGUCCUGGGAUUCUUGCAAUGGUUUCAUAUUCGGCUCUUGGCAGGACUCCCCACAUACUAUUCUACCAGUCUUUCAAGAGCUCAUGCAAACUGGCAUUAGGGUUUGGAUUUAUAGAAUUUCAGCGGAGACAUAGGUCAUGUGUUAUCUGUAACGACAAGUAGAUAUGCCAUAGACAAAAUAGAAACACCAGUC